rnacentral:rRNA from 1 species
GUUGUUCGGAAUUGCUGGGCGUAAAGCGCACGUAGGCGGAUUGUUAAGUUAGGGGUGAAAUCCCAGGGCUCAACCCUGGAACUGCCUUUAAUACUGGCAAUCUCGAGUCCGAGAGAGGUGAGUGGAAUUCCGAGUGUAGAGGUGAAAUUCGUAGAUAUUCGGAGGAACACCAGUGGCGAAGGCGGCUCACUGGCUCGGUACUGACGCUGAGGUGCGAAAGCGUGGGGAGCAAACAGG